CAGUCGAACGAGCGAGAGGAGGUUUACUUUCUCAAGCGAGUGGCGAACGGGUGAGUAACGCGUGAGGAACCUGCCUCAAAGAGGGGGACAACAGUUGGAAACGACUGCUAAUACCGCAUAAGCCCACGACCCGGCAUCGGGUAGAGGGAAAAGGAGCAAUCCGCUUUGAGAUGGCCUCGCGUCCGAUUAGCUAGUUGGUGAGGUAAUGGCCCACCAAGGCGACGAUCGGUAGCCGGACUGAGAGGUUGAACGGCCACAUUGGGACUGAGACACGGCCCAGACUCCUACGGGAGGCAGCAGUGGGGAAUAUUGCACAAUGGGGGAAACCCUGAUGCAGCGACGCCGCGUGGAGGAAGAAGGUCUUCGGAUUGUAAACUCCUGUUGUUGAGGAAGAUAAUGACGGUACUCAACAAGGAAGUGACGGCUAACUACGUGCCAGCAGCCGCGGUAAAACGUAGGUCACAAGCGUUGUCCGGAAUUACUGGGUGUAAAGGGAGCGCAGGCGGGAAGACAAGUUGGAAGUGAAAUCCAUGGGCUCAACCCAUGAACUGCUUUCAAAACUGUUUUUCUUGAGUAGUGCAGAGGUAGGCGGAAUUCCCGGUGUAGCGGUGGAAUGCGUAGAUAUCGGGAGGAACACCAGUGGCGAAGGCGGCCUACUGGGCACCAACUGACGCUGUGGCUCGAAAGUGUGGGUAGCAAACAGGAUUAGAUACCCUGGUAGUCCACACUGUAAACGAUGAUUACUAG
rnacentral:rRNA from 1 species